CCUAGAGUUGUGGGCUUUGCCUGCUAUCUCUUACCCAUGUCUUUUGAGUACCUUCGUUUCCUCGGCGGGUCCGCCCGCCGAUUGGACAAUUUAAACCAUUUGCAGUUGCAAUCAGCGUCUGAAAAAACUUAAUAGUUA
rnacentral:misc_RNA from 1 species